CGCUUUUUGUUGCGCUGACUGAGGCGACUGUGUAGCUUUUUUCCUCUUUGUUCUAUCAAUGAGGUUUGUCACACUGGUUUUCUAUGUUGACCCACCCUCGGCUUCCUCUAACAAGUCUCUCCUGGUCACGGGGUACAGUCCCUUCAAUAUGCUGCUGAAUUUGGUUUGCUGGUAUUUGGUUGAGGAUUUUUGCGUUUACAUUCAUGAGGAAUACUGACCUAUAGUUUUCUUGCGAUGCCUUUGUCUGGCUUUGAAUACUGGCUUCACAAGAAGAGGAAACUACAGCAUAAGUGACAGUCAUACACACAUACUGCAAAGUACUCACUACAGUACAGGAGGUGGAGAAAAGACGAGCAAUUCCCCAAAGAUCCAACAUCUGAUUCUCAGGAAGAAGAACAACAGAGAAGAAGAUAUGAAAUGGACUCAGAACUAUUAAGAAAAGGAGCUCUGGGACACAGAAUGGAAGAGCCUUCCGAGCAGAAGGAUGAACAAAGAUGUAAGAUACAUAUUUGAACAUGAAAAUGGAACUGCUGCAUCAGAGGUUAAGUACCGUCACAUCUCCCUCCGAUUGCCAAACUGCCAUCCUAAAACAGUCCAUCUGGGGCCUUCCUGGUGGCUCGGGUAAAGGAUCCGCCUGGCAAUGCAGGAGACACAGCUUCCGUCCCUGCUCUGGGGAGACCCCACACGCUGCAGAACAAGCAAGCCUGUGGGCCACAGCUGUUGAGCCAGGGCUCCGGAGCCCGCGAGCCACAGGGACGUAAGCCCUCCCGCCCUGGAGCCCACGCUCCGAAACAAGAGAAACCCCCACAGGGAGAGGCCCAUGCACCGCAACUAGAGAGGAGCCCCCGCUUGCCGCAACUAGAGAAAAGCCCGUGCGGUGAUGAAGAUCCAGCACAGUCAA